UUUUUUUUUUUUUUUUUUUUUUUUUUUGUUUUUUUUUUUUUUUUUUUUUUUUUAAACUUAAUAAAUACAUAAUAUAAAUAAUAAUAAUAACAAAAUGACAAAAACCAUGUAAUAAUAAUAAGAAUGAAAACAAAUAAAUAAUAAAAAAAACAAACUAAAUAAAUAAAAACAACAAAAAUGUCCAUUUUUCAAUUUUUCUUCAUUUUUCCUUUUUUCUUUUUCUCUUUUUUCAAAAUAACUUAAUAAAAAUAACUGAAGUGCAAAAAGGUUGAAUGUAAAGAAAUAAACAUAUUUUUGUGAACAAAUUUUCUUUUUUUCCUUUCUUUUCCAUUGUUUUUUUCCAAGAAAACUAAAAACCUAUUUUUCGAAUGUUUUUGCUUUUUCUCUCCAGCAACUCUAUGCUAACUUAAAAUUUAAAAACUAAGACUAAAAGUAAAUAAAACUAAAAAAACAAACAAGAAUAAAUGACAAAUGAAAUAGAUCAACUAAAAGGGCCAAAAAUGAACUAAAAUAAAAUACCACUAAAAAUGAGAAACAAACAAUAACGAACUAGGAUGCAAACAAUCUAAAACACACAAAAUCAUAAAAUAGAUGCCACAUACAAAUUAUUCAAAAAUUUGGUGUCUACAAUUUGCCCCUCUUUGUCUGGGUUUUGAAAAAACUUGAGACAAAGAAGUAGAUACCAAAUACUUACCUGUGUUAUUCGGCUGCAGAAGAUUCCAACGAACAGGAAUUCUAAUACGGGACUGACCCGAACAUGAAAAAUAAAACGGGACUGACCCGAGCAGGAAUUUAAAACGGGACUGACCCGAACAGGAAUUUUGAAAUCGGGACUGACCCGAACAGGAAUUUAAAAUUGGGAUAGGCCCGAACGGAAAUUUAAAAAGGGACUUCACUGGGAAGGUUUAAACAAUAAAUUGAGUUUUUACCUCGGGGUAGUUCAAAUUUUGUACCAAGAGGGAGAUUUGAUCUCUGUGGCUGAACAAAAUGAAAUACGCAUUAGUGGGACUGACCCCUGGCUAGCGGCGAAUGCAGAUGAAAGGCACACUAGUGGGACAAACCCAACGGCUAGCGGCGAUGAAGAUGAAAGGCUCACCAGUGGGACAAACCCAACGGCUGGUGGCAAAUGCAAUUAAAAGGCACACUAGUGGGACAAACCCAACGGCUAGCGGCGAUGAAGAUGAAAGGCUCACCAGUGGGACAAACCCAACGGCUGGUGGCAAAUGCAAUUAAAAGGCACACUAGUGGGACAAACCCAACGGCUAGCGGCGAUGAAAAUGAAAGGCUCACCAGUGGGACAAACCCAACGGCUGGUGGCAAAUAUAAUGCAAAGUAAAAGGCACACUAGUGGGACAAACCCAACGGCUAGCGGCGAUGAAAAUGAAAGGCUCACCAGUGGGACAAACCCAACGGCUGGUGGCAAAUGCAAUUAAAAGGCACACUAGUGGGACAAACCCAACGGCUAGCGGCGAUGAAGAUGCAAGGCUCACCAGUGGGACAAACCCAACGGCUGGUGGCAAAUGUAAUCAAAAGGCACACUAGUGGGACAAGCCCAACGGCUAGCGGCGAUGAAAAUGAAAGGCUCACCAGUGGGACAAACCCAACGGCUGGUGGCAAAUGCAAUUAAAAGGCACACUAGUGGGACAAACCCAACUCCAGUAGCAAUAAAAUGCUUUUGACAAUCGGACAGUGGGAUAAAACCCGAGGCUGCCGAGGUCGGAGGGAUAAAACCCGUGCCCAACGAAAGUAAAAGCGGUCAGUGGGAUAAAACCCGAGCCUGCCGAGGUCGGAGGGAUAAAACCCGUGCCCAACGAAAAUAAAAGCGGUCAGUGGGAAAUAAAAGCGGUCAGUGGGAUAAAACCCGAGCCUGCCGUGAUGAACUUGAUUUGAUUUUUGACUUUGAUUUUUGAUUUUUGAUUUUUUUUUCUUUUUUGUUGUUUUUUUUUCUUUUUUCUGAUUUUUCCCUUUUGAUUUUUUCUCUUUCCUUUCGGAUUUUUCCGAGAGAAUUUUUCAAACUAAUUUGCCCCAGUGUCGGGUCCAUUUUUCCCUCCUUCUUCUUGCUUCUCUUUGCAGUAUCGGCCUUCCGCCUCAUUGGAUGCUUUUCGUCAUUUUGAACCAUGAAUACCUGUACAAGGGGUUCAUCAAAAUAUGACAUGCAUUCAAAUCUCUUAUUUGGAAAGAACAGCGUGAUUGGUUUGACAUCCUCAAAUGUAUUACAAAAAUUUUUGCCCCAGUGUGGGCUAUUUUGCAAAAUCUCUCACAUGAAAAUUUGCCCCAGUGUAGGUCUAUUUAAUUGCAAAAAAUUUGUUUGAAUGACUCUCCAUUUAUUUGAACAAAGUAAGCAAUUGCCUUUCCUAACAUAGCAUGUGAAGAAAAUUGAAAUGUCUUGCUUAAACUCAUAUAGCGAAUUUCAUGAUGAAUUUUUCAAAAUAAUGCAAAAUUACGAAAGAUUUCUUCCCCACUUUAGCAUCAAUGCUUUAGGUAAUGGGUCACCAUUUCUUGUUGGUUCAUCUGUCAGGACCAAUGAUCUGAUUUUUGAGGGGGUUAAGGGAAAUGAGAAGACGAGAUUUGUUUGGUUCUUGUGCCCAAAUUUGUAAUUCCUUCAAUGCCACAUCUUAGUGAAAGCAAAGAGUUUGUCACCCUUAUUUUUCAAGAAAACUUAGUCAACAUACAAGCUUUCUAGGCAUGUAACGUAUGGGCAGAAGUGAUAGCUAAACAUGUGGAAACGGGCUAUACCCUUAUGAUCACAAAUGAUUUGAUGAAUUUCUUAUGAGCAUGAUCCUCACUUUGGAUUGUCAUGAAGGAAUAAGUCAACGAUGGACUUUGUUAGCUUGUAAUGUGACUUGAAAACGAUAGCUAAAGAAUAAAACUUUCAAGGACAUAGCGCUGAAGAUCGCAUUUUCCCAAAAUUGCCCCUAUUUUGAACUCGAAGAUUCUGAACUUUGUUCGAUCACUCAAUAGGGACUUCACCAUCGAAUCCUUUGUAUUUCAUUUUUCCUUUUUGCUUUUCCGUUUUCUUUUCUUUGAUCUGGUGGGUUUUCCAUGGUGAGUAGCGUCAACCUCAUACUCAAGCAAUUCAGAAAUACAGCUAAACUUUUCCGGCAUCAGAAAUUUUCUUGACAGGGCCAUCGCAAAGAACAGAAAUCAGGACUUUCGGCUUUUGUAAUGGGGUCAGGUGGGGUGUUUAGAAAAGUUAAGGGUUGAAGGCAGAUUUUAAGAAUGGUUUGAAGAAUCUGAGAUCGCAUUGUUGUGUCAACCCUAUUUUAGGGUUAAAUCAAAAUUUGCCCCAGUUUAUGCUCAAUUGAGGCUUUUUCUCUUUCAUUUUCUUUAUUUUUUUGAUUUUUCGGCUUUCUGCCAUUCUUUUGAACUUUCACAAAAUUUGCCCCAGUUUACUUUUGAACUGAGGUUCUCUUUUCUUCUUUUGUCUUUUGAUUUUGUGACUUUUCACUUUUUCACUUCUUGAAAUUUUCCUUUUCAACUAAAACUUGUCCCAGUGUGGGGUUUGCGAUUCUCAGGGGUUGCCAAAUGAAAUAUUUUAUUCUGAAGGCUCAAAAGGGAAAACUAGGGAUAGAAUGUCCGAUUGGAAAAGAAGAUGGCCUGACUUGUAUUCCGUUCCUUACAAUAACUCUGAAAGGAAACUUUCGUUAAUGCGAAAAUUUUUUUUUUUUGCAUGUAUCUGAAUUACUGACUGAGGAAGACCCUUGUUCAUCCAUAUUUGUGAGACAUAGGCGAUCCACGUGGACAAAACUCUUCCUUUUUUCCAAAAAUUGGAACCCAAAUGGAAUCAAAUUUCCCCAAUUCGCGGUUCCCUUUCCUCUUUUCCUUUUUUUCCUCUCUUUUUUUUUUAAAUUCCCCAAUCUCCUUCCCCAAUGUGGGGUGCGAUCAUAUGUGCACUCGAAAAGAACCACCAAUUUUUAGCUCAAAUGAGGAUGCAAGGGGUAAAUUGUGUUUGGGUUGUAGAAACGAUGGCCAAAGUAUCAUUCUUACGCUCCAUGACAACCAAAGUAGCGAAUCUUAUUGAAAAUCCAUUUGAAAACUUUCCAAUGUAAGGUAGUGAUCAUUAAGGCUCUUAUUUGAAACGAAUUUAUUCUUUCAAAGGCUCAAAGGGGAGAGCAACUGAUAAAAUCUGUAUGGAUAGAGAAAUGAACGCUUGAAGUAUCAUUCUAAAUUUUCAAAACAAACAAGAACAAUGCACAUUUUGCUUUCACUUAGAUGUGAAUUGAAUCCAAUUAGACACCAUGGACAUUUUUCCAAGCAAAGGUUGCCCCAAUUUGCAAUUUUAUCAAUCAAUGUGACUGAUUUUAUUUUGGGGUCAAUAGAAGUGACAAAAAUAUGAAUUGUACAGUGAAGGAGAAAAGGUAUCUCAUUGGGUCUUUUGAGUGACUACUCUUAUUUUUUGAGCACGUUUAUUGUGUAACUCAGAUCCCCAAUCUAGUGUACGCGAGGAUUUUAGAAAGCAUACACUUGUGAAUUUUCAGGCUGGAGGUUGAAAAAAUCUUAAUUUGGUCUUAUUUUCUUAAAAUUCAUCAUGAAAUCUCCAAUGAGCAAAGAAUGAAAUGUACAUGAAUAUACACAAAACAAUAAUUGUCCAAAAAUUUUAUUGUUGAAAAAAUUUGAAACAAAAUUUCUCGUUCAAUUAUGAUACAGAUGAGAAGAGAAACUUGUAAAGAGCUCAAAAUAUACACUUUUGUCUCCUUUUCUCUUUGGAACAAAAUGUAUUAACAAAUCAAAUAUACAAAAUUUUCCUUUAGAAAUAAUUACAAAAUCUCUCAGAUGCUUUAGCGUAGAGCUUCCAGAUAGAUCUUUUAUGUUUUCAUUGUAGGAUCUGCCCAAGAAUCAAAUAACACUUGUAAUCUUCAAACUUUAUUGGAUUAAAAUUAUCAUUAGAUAUAGAAGAAUAUUUUCGUCUUAUUGAAACAUUUUUAUGAAUGCAGGGGAGGGGAAAAACAAAAGAAAAAUACCCAGAGUUAGUAGGCAAAACUGCAAAACCGGUAUGCAUGUCUUAUGGGGGAACCCUUUUUGUGCCAAGGGUAGGCCUAACAUGAAAAUGCAAUCCUCUAGGGUAGGCACUAUACAAUACCUGAUGGAUCCAAUCAGCUUAUGGAGUGAAAAAUAAUUUUGAAAAAUUUGGUCAAUUGGAAUGAGAAGAGACGUUUGUCAAAAUGAGGACAUCGUCCGAAGGGAUUGAUCACUUUUGAUCGAUGCAAGAAUUUGCAAAAACGCACGGGUUUGACCUUGACGAACUUCCUAUCGAAGAGAUUGGAAUUCGUUGACCAAAUUUUUCAGUGAAGCACGGGUCAAGAUCCCAACUGAUCAAAUGGCUGGAUGCAAUGGAUGGUUUUCUCAAAAAUCGACUAAAUUUCCCAAUUUGAAAUUGACAUUGAAACCCUGAUUGGUCAAAUGGGUUGAACGAAAUUGACCAUUUAUUUAAAAAUCGACCGGAUUACCCUAAAAGGGAAACGGGUCAAAUGAAUUAAAUGAAAUUAAAAACUUACUCAAAAUUGACCAAAUCAUCCUUAAAAAGGAAUUUGAUCGAUUGAAAUUGAGAAUUUUAUUCAAAACAAACCGGAUCGCCCUAAAAGGGUAAACUGGUCAAAUGAAUCGGACGAAAUUGAUGAUUUAUCGAAAAUCUACAAAAUUGCCCUAACUAAUCAAAUGAAUUGAAUGAAAUUGGUGAUUUAUUCAAAGAACGACCAGAUUGCCCUAAAAAUGGGUGAAUCAGCCAAAUGAAAUGAAGAUUUAUUCAAAAAUCGAUCGGAUCACCCAAAAAGGGUAAAUUAGUCAAAUGAAUUGAUUGAAAUUGAUGAUUUAUUCAAAAAUCGAUCAAAUCACCCAAAAAGGGUAAAUUAGUCAAAUGAAUUGACGAUUUAUUCAAAAUCGACCGGAUGACCCUAAAAAGGGUAAAUUGGUCAAACGACCCUAAAAAGGGUAAAUUGGUCAAAUGACCCUAAAAAGGGUAAUUUGGUCAAAUGAUUUGAUGAUUUAUGCAAAAACCGACCCAAUCACCCUAAAAGGGUAAAUUGGUCCAAUGAAUUGAAUGAAACUGAUAGUUUAUUCAAAAGUCAACCGAAUGACCCUAAAAAGGGUAAAUUGGUCAAAAGAUGGUUUAUUCAAGAUUGAUUAUGAAUUGACAAAAUGAAUCGAUUGAAUCGGUUGGCCAUUGGUGGUUUCAGAAAAUUAGUUUAUGAGCCUUCUAAAAUCACGAUUUGGCCUCAAUUUAUUCAUCGUCUCAACAGGAGGAAUCAUUUGUGAAUUUUUUUCAAAUUAAUGUCCUUUUACGCAAGGGAAUUUUACCAAUUUUGAUAAAAUGGCCAAAAAGUGAUUAUUAGACGCUCAUAUUCCAAAAAAUCACUCUUAUGAAGACAAUCGGAUCCUACCUUACCUCGUGCACUACCCCUUUGGAUGAUACAAAAUGUAAACGUGCAAGUCUCUUUGGAUUAAGUAUCCGAGACACAAGGCGGUUUAUUUCUAACACGGGAUCCCCUGAGUGGCAUUCCCUUUCUAGGGUUUAAUGCAUGAUGCCAGUUUAUUAAAGCGAUGUAAAUAUGUGACAAAUACGGCCUAAAGGACAUAAAUAAUGUAUCGGGGGGAAAAGGUCUAAAAAAAAUGAAAUGUAUUUAUUGAAAAUUAAGUGUAAUAGCUGAAAUUUAAACAUGUGAUCUAUCUAGUGGGUAAGUCGCUAAAAGAGUGCCAAAGAGGCCUCUUAUUGCUAAGGCACAUGAAUGCAAGUCAAGAAAACAAAAAGAAUGGUUAGUGCAAUUGAUAGUACACAUAACACAUUGGGAGCAAUUAAGAAAAGAAAUACAAUGAAAGCAAUAAAAGGGGUGGAACCCCUUCCCUCGUGCCUAAUGUGCUUAAAAGAGGGUGAGGCUGACUCUAACCUAGGAAAAUUCUAACAUGGAUGCAUGAGGCUGGGGGCUCGCUAAUGCAGCUAGACUCGAUAAGGUUAAAAAGGUCCCCAAGCCUUCAGACCUAAAGACCAAGGGUCAUCACUCCCAAGGCCUUCGAUCGGUGGCUCGAGUGAUCCCUUAGGUAGCGCUAUGGGCGCAGCGCACACCAGCCGCCUACCCAAGGCGAUCGAUCCUAAUCCUACAAGGCGGUGUGGGAAACGCCCACGAAAAAUAAAAUAAAAAGGGAUAACAAUAAGUAAACGUGCACGUAUGAAGUGUUCCCUAUUUUGAGGGAAGGGGUUGAGAACCACGCGAGGCUCUAAAGGUGGCACACACCCCCCCAAAUGCAAUGCAAGCGCGAGAUAAGCAAGUAAACAUACAUCCAAUCAACCAAUCAUUCAUUCGUGAGCGAGGGGGUAGUUUGAGAUGCGAGUGAGGCAAAAUCCUAAAAAGAAAAAAAUGCAACCCUAAAACACCCAAAUGUGAUAUAUGAAAAGGUUAAAAGAAGAAAAAGGUUGAUUAAAUCAAAUUUGCUCGGACUCUCGAAUGUCCCCAGUGGAGUCGCCAACUGUCGCGCCCCAUUUUUUUUUUGAAAAAAUAAAUAAAUGUUAAAAAAAAUGUAUUUUUGAUUUAAUUUGUGAUUGGAAAAUGAAUUGUGAUUUAAAAGAAAAAUGGGUCUAAAUGGGGGUUUGAAAAUGCGACGAUUUGACCCAAAGUUAUAGUUUAAAAAGGGUUUUUGAAAAAAUGGGAGUCGCCACUUGGUAAUGAGUUAAGGUGUACCAAGUCACCUAAAAAUGUAUUUUUAAAGAAAAAUAGGGAAAAGUAGUGAGAAACCCUUUUUAAACGACUCCUAAUCUACGUAAACCAAUGAAAAAGGUUCGGGAGUCACAUUUGACAAAGGGGAAGGCAAGGAUAAAAUCCAAGGCACCCCUUUGACCUAGCCAAGGCUAGUUGCAUGAUUUAAUCAAAGAUUUUCUUGUUUUAACCAAAGAAUUUAUUACAUUUGGAUGCACUACAUGAAUGCAAAAAGAAGGAAAAAAUGCAAACCUAAAUUCUAAAAUGUCUCUUGUAAGGUUUUUGGUCCCAACCACAUGAAUUGUGGCGGCCAAUAAAGGAAAACCUUAUAGAGGUCGAUUAAUGCAAAUGAUGGCUAAAGUGCAAGUGUGCAAGUGUAUAAAAAGGUGAACGUGUGAAAUUGUAUAAAAAAUCCAAGUGUUUGUGUGCAAGUGUAUGAAAAGGUGCAUGUGUGAAAUUGUAUGAAAAAUCCAAGUGUUUGUGUGCAAGUGUGUGAAAAUAGAAUAAUGGAUAUAUAAGGUAAAGUGGAAUUCCAUUUGUGAGGUGAAAAUGAGCGCGUGAUAGGAAAAAUGUAGUGAGAAAGUAUGGUUUUGAGAAAUGUGAAAAAAUGUGGUUAAAAGAGUAUGGAAGUGAUAAAAAUGAAAGUAUGACCCUAGGGGAAUGCAACAAGUCGGGUACGGGGAUGACGCCUAAUUCUUCGACUUUGAUUUUCCCUCGGAUUAGAAGGCGAAACUAGCGUGCUAAGGCUAUCAAGUAGCCACACUCGCUCGUUUCCCUUAUCGGAAGGGGAUUUUCACGCAAAUGAACCCUAACUAGCAUGAGAUGCAAGUCCUAAAGUGAAGGGGAAGGGGUUUGAGGAACAUACCAAAUGAUAAACUAAGGAAAAAUGCGUGAUAUGUGGUGAUCAUGCACUUAAUGAAAAAGGAAAAAAAACCUAUUGGGUCUAGCAUUGGACUAGCCCAUCCUAUGAAUUCCGACUAGCGUUGGACUAGUGGAAACGAUAAAAGAAGCCACAACUAGCGUUGGACUAGUGUGGUGACGUACAUUCAUCCAUUCCAUUCAUUCAUGGUUAUGAAAGCAAGUAGACAUGCCAAAACGCUCGUAAACACGUAGCACGUAGCACUUAGCAUGCUCGACUAGAUGCAAGAGCCUACUAAAGCAAUUUAACAUGUAACAACAAAAGCAAGCAACCAAGGGGAAGGGGAAAUGGACCAGAUGCUCUACGAGCCCUAUCUAUUACAAGCCAAGAGGUGUACACAUACCCCAUUAAAAAGAAUAACUUAAUGAAAGCAAAAAGUAAAUGACAUACAUAAAAGAAAUUAAGGAAAGGCUAAGAAAGCAAAGUAGACAUGUGUUUCUCACGUAGCACGUUGGUUCACAUAGGAGAGGCACAAAAAGGGAUAAAAGAAAAUAUACCGCCCUUGAAAUGAAGCUCUAAAUGGAGUGAAAUCACUUAUUUAUCCUCCAAAAUAAAAGAAAUGGUCAAGGUACCAAUUUAUUUGAAGAGAUUAAAGAAAAUAGGCAAACAAGAGCUCGUUCGGUCAUAAAGCCCCCAAAGUCAUGGCUUAAGUGCAAUUGACAAAGCAUGGUAGUUAAUUUGAAGCAAAGCAAGCAAUGAAGUUUCAAAAUUAAAACUACCAAGGACUAAAUUGAGGAGAUUAUUCAAUUGAUUGGGUCCUAGUGGAAUAAGGGGGAUCUUGAGGGUUUAAAAUGCAAUUUUCUUUUGGUUCUCAUGCAUGCAUACGUAGAAGAUCCAUUUUUCUACACCAUUUCUGCCGUGAAUUUCCUUCCAUUUCAUCAUGCAAAUAUGUUCAUCAAAUGCCAGGAUUUCUACUAUCAAUCAUUGACUAAACAUGCAAUGAAACAAGAAUUGAAGCUGACCCUCAAGGGUAAAAAUUAAACAGCAAAAGAAGGAAAAAGAAAAAGAUGCAGCAGGUCUCUCUGCAAUUCAAAGAGCCCAGCCACAAUCUUCAUUUCUUAGUUGUAGGCUUUAGCCUCAAGUGCCGAUCCAUCAUCCAGCUUUUCAACUUGACAUUAAAACAGCACACAAUCCAAACACAGCUAUCAUGCAAUCUUCCUACUUUGCACCAUGAAACUUGUAAAUUUAGACAUCAAUGGUCAGACAACACGCAUGCAAAAACUGAACAGCAUUUGGGCAAGAGAAUGGUGCUAGCAAGCAUGAGAGUGACUAUUUCAUGCACCACAAAAGAAAUUUGAGGUAUCAAAGACAGAGCUGAGUCAUUACAAGAAGAUCAUAAGCAAGGAAAUCAAGGAGAUCCGAUCAUAUCAAGCAUGCUAACUUCGGCAAGAUAUUCUGCAAUUCAUAGUUACAAUGCUGCCGCAACUUUCUGCUGCAAUUCUUGGCUAACCCAAACAUUACUAUUGACUCAAUCAGCGACAACUUAGAAUGAAAUAACAAGUUCACCACACAUGCUUUCCAUUUUUACCAUGAAGCCUUAGGCAUUAACAUAUGAGAAACCGGAGGAAAUCAUUCAACUUUAGCAGAUUUCUGAAACUUAUCUGAUGCCUUAACACUUAGCAAACUCAUGCGGCAGCAACAAAUUUUAACAGCAAAGCAACAAGGAUUCACCUCCAAGUUUAUUAUCAAGACAUGGUUGAAACACACAAAAGAAAAGACAUCUGAACUGGGGGGAAAAGCUUGCCCAGACAUGUUCAUCUCAUAGUUACAAAUUUCUGAACUUUCCAUCAAACCGACGGCAUAACAGACCAACCCAACAACUUGGAGCAAAAUAAAAAAGAGUUCAUCAAACAUUAACCAUCAGAUUUCGUUUCUCAAAUCAAGAUUAACAACGGAUUUUUAACACAACACCCAAUCCAUCGGACUACUAAGGCAGCAAAACAACAACGUAUGUUCAUAAACAAAACGUAGCAGAAAUUUCAGGCCGAUUCAAUGAAAGUCUGGUUUGUGAGAGAAGUAAAAAAACAAAAAGGAAUUACCUUUGACGUCUUUUGGAGCAGAUUUCUCCCUUCCUCCCUCUCAACAAGCCCCAGCCAUCAGAAACCUUCAGAAUUUUCACUCAACCGUAGCUGUCAUUUCUUCCAAAAAUCUUCCCUGUAGCUUCCUCGCCUUCCUCCUAUUCGUUUCAGUUUCUGUCCAACACCUCCGCCGCUAUCUCUCUUUGGCCAGCUCUUGGCGUUGCUCUUUUAUUUUUCUUCUUAGCUUUUCCUUACAGCCCUUCGCCCUGUUCUCCCUCUCUUGCUCAGAUUUUCUCUUGUUCAAUCCCCCGCUGCCCUCCUCUCUGUUUUUCUUUUCUGUUUUUCCGAUCUCCAGCCCUCACUCAAUGCCUCUCUCCAUCUCCCCCCCUCUCUCCUAAACUCUCUUGUUUGCGGCUGCCAAUCCCUUCUAUUUAUAUCAAGCACUCAACCCUAAAAACCUCAGCCACUUCCUCUGAAAUUUGCAGCUAAGGAGCUCCCCAAAGUUCACUUGCAAGCUGCGGCAAAAACGCAGCCUUCAUGCUGCGCGUUUUUUUUUUUUUUUUUUUUUUUUUUUUUUUUUUUUUUUUUUUUUUUUUUUUUUUUUUUUUUUUUUAAACUUAAUAAAUACAUAAUAUAAAUAAUAAUAAUAACAAAAUGACAAAAACCAUGUAAUAAUAAUAAGAAUGAAAACAAAUAAAUAAUAAAAAAAACAAACUAAAUAAAUAAAAACAACAAAAAUGUCCAUUUUUCAAUUUUUCUUCAUUUUUCCUUUUUUCUUUUUCUCUUUUUUCAAAAUAACUUAAUAAAAAUAACUGAAGUACAAAAAGGUUGAAUGUAAAGAAAUAAACAUAUUUUUGUGAACAAAUUUUCUUUUUUUCCUUUCUUUUCCAUUGUUUUUUUCCAAGAAAACUAAAAACCUAUUUUUCGAAUGUUUUUGCUUUUUCUCUCCAGCAACUCUAUGCUAACUUAAAAUUUAAAAACUAAGACUAAAAGUAAAUAAAACUAAAAAAACAAACAAGAAUAAAUGACAAAUGAAAUAGAUCAACUAAAAGGGCCAAAAAUGAACUAAAAUAAAAUACCACUAAAAAUGAGAAACAAACAAUAACGAACUAGGAUGCAAACAAUCUAAAACACACAAAAUCAUGAAAUAGAUGCCACAUACAAAUUAUUCAAAAAUUUGGUGUCUACAGUGAAGGCUCACUCCUUCCUCACCCCAAACAUACUUUGGUUGAGCAAAGGAAUUUUACUACUUUCCAAGUAAACCCUCAACUAGCUACAAUUGAAAGCUUACCCACUCAAUUAAGAACUACUUUAUACAAGUGAGGCAACCUUUAUGAAGGUUUUACCACUCUAAGUGAUAGGUUCACCUUCACCAAGGUUUUACUCCUCCUAGAGAGUAACCUUCACUUGAGCAACCUCACAACCCAACUUUCCCAACCCCUUAUACAACCAACAAAGAAUAUUUCUACUCAAAGAUCUCACUUGUAAGCUUGUAUAUAGUGUUGGCAAAAAGUCUGUGUCUUCUUGUGCUUUGGGGUAUUUAUAGAAGGUGAGAAAUGGCUCCAAAAGGCUCUCCAACGGUCAAAUAUUAAAUGCUGUCCGAACCAUUUGCUCUGCAUCCGAACCAUGCAUCCGAACCACCUAUCGGACGUCCGAACCAUUUGUUCUGCGUCCGAACCCUGCGUCCGAUAGAAGUCAGAAUGUUCAACUUUCAUUCUUUUUGUGUCGGACGGCCGAAGCAAUGAAUGAGCGUCCGAUCCAAGCGUCCGAAGAGUAUCGUCGUUUGUCGGACGUCCGAUCCUCUAUCGAGCGUCCAAACCUUCAAAAUUCUUAACUUCUCUUUGAUUCAAAUCUUUUCGAUUCUCUUUUAGAUCAAUGACCUGUUCUAACAAAUUUCUCACAUAAAAACAUUAGUCCAAAUCUACAUUUUGGUUUGUUAAUCAUCAAAAUCAAGGACUGAUCAACCAAGGUCAACAUUAGCCAAGAAAAAGCAAGUAAUAAUGGAGCAAUUAAACCACACAAGAUAAUUAAAUGAAAUGAAAAGCAAAUAAACAAAGAUAGACAAACUAAUGUAUAGUGGUUAGGGCACAACCCUCCUUGGUGCCAACAUCCAUUCCCAAGCUUCUCCAAGCUUGGAAUUCAAUCAAUUAUGUACUUCUUCCAAUAUUGCUGAAACAAACCAACUUGUACGAAGUAGGACUCGGUCUAUGUUUACACUAAUUUUUCCUACUCUAGUUGAGUUAAAAGAGUUUUACAACUUUUCCUAAUUAACCCUCUCGAAACUACAAUUGAACGCCCACGCAACUAAUGAAAUACUUACACUUUUUAGUUUCACAAAGAGUACAAGUACAUCACACACGAGUAUUUCUCUCAAAAUUACUCUUAUAAAACUUAUAGUCUGUGUAGGUCAAACCUCUAAACAAGAUCAGGCUUUAAGAUAUUUAUAGGACCCCAAAAUCUGGUCCAACAUACCCCUAAUGGUCAAACAUUAAAUGUUGAAAAAACUAGCCAUCAAAGAUGUUAGACAUUGGAUUGAUUAAGCAGCGUCCGAUGCACACAUCCUAUCAAUGCUGAGAAGGAUUCUUGAUUAGAUGUUGGAACAACCGCCAGAAAUACUUCUUCAUCCGAGAGUGCAUCUGACAGGAGAACAGAGAGCUCCAAACUUGGUCAAGAAUUUUUCAAACAGCCGAUGAGUGGCUUUUGCAUCCAAGACUCAAUUCGAUCAUAAGAGUGAUGUUCCUUCCAUUUACUUCGAACAGCCAAUGCCGUAACCAGUUGUCCGAAGGUACAUCCCAUGCUGAGCUAUAUUUCUUUUGUACUAUUUCAAAUAGCACCGAUCAAAGUUUCCGGAUACUGGUAUUUUUAAAUAUUAUCUGUCUUGAGUGGUUUUAGAGACAAACAAACAAAUUAACAAAAAAAAUGAUUAGAGGAUAAAAUGCAAAACAUACUAUACCUUAAAGAGGUUUAUUGGAAUUAACCUUUGGGGUAUAAAUGUCUUUUUGAUAUUUUCGUUACAUAAUGUUAGAGUUGACUAACAUUUAGAAGAAAUAAAAAAAAAAAUUAACAUUAAGGGGUAAAGUGCAAAACUGAUUAAACUUAAAGGGAGCUUUUGCGAUUAACCUUUUAAAUUAAUUUAAUAAUCCAUAUGUCUAAAGAAUUUUUAGUGCACAAACUUUGCCUCUCUUGGUCUCAAGUAAGCCUGUAAAACCGGCGCACUGGCUUAACCCGUCAGAUUGGACUUCGGCCCAAUCGCUUGCAUACAUGGUUCUGCAGAUAUAGUCGCUUGGACUCGUUCAUGGACCUAGUCCCGUGGACUUCAUUAUACAUUUACUUGGACCCAUGGCUUGGUCUGUGGACUUGGUUCAGAAAUAAGAUUUUAGCGGACUUGGGUUUUGAGCAUGCAUCCUCGACUUGCUUCUCGGACACAUGUUCUUUUGUGCACCCAAAAAACAAAAUGGAAAAAAGGCAGACCGUUAUGGAAUAGCUUGUAAUAUUUGCAGGAGGACCCAAAACUAUCAGCAACCAUUCCAGGCAGAUUAAAGCGUUUAACAAAAAAGCUGUUUUCGAAAUAAAAAUCGCCAAAGUCAUCAGAAUCCCGAAGCACAGGCAUAGACGGACGCAGAUGAACCAUUAACUUAAGGGUUGAGGCCUCAAAGGAGAAAAGAUAACAUAGCGUGCCUAUGUAAAUAUUGCCACCGAACCUGGCAUGGGUUCCAUUUCUAGCAUUGAGUUUCUGCUUAAAAGGUACAUCGCAUCCAAGAUUUCGACAAAAUACUGAAACCCUGGUCAAGUUCCCAACAAAUCCAUUUGUGGUGAUGGGAUCAUUGAAUGAUAUAUGAACAUUUAAAGAAUAUUAAUCCGUUUAACUCCUAAAAUAAGUGUACAUCCGAAAGUCAGGU
rnacentral:lncRNA from 1 species